rnacentral:rRNA from 1 species
AACGCGAAGAACCUUACCUAGACUUGACAUCCCGGUGACCGCUCUGGAAACAGAGUUUUCCCUUCGGGGACACCGGUGACAGGUGGUGCAUGGUUGUCGUCAGCUCGUGUCGUGAGAUGUUCGGUUAAGUCCCGCAACGAGCGCAACCCUUAUCUUCAGUUACUAACGCGUAGAGGUGAGGACUCUGAAGAGACUGCCGGGGACAACUCGGAGGAAGGUGGGGACGACGUCAAAUCAUCAUGCCCCUUAUGACCUGGGCUACACACGUGCUACAAUGGCCACUACAAAGAGAAGCGAAUUUGCAAGGAAGAGCGGAUCUCAAAAAAGUGGUCCCAGUUCGGAUUGUGGGCUGCAACCCGCCCACAUGAAGUCGGAGUUGCUAGUAAUCGCGGAUCAGCAUGCCGCGGUGAAUACGUUCCCGGGUCUUGUACACACCG